rnacentral:rRNA from 1 species
CUUAACACCGAGAAGUGAUGACGAGUCUCUACGGAGACGAAGUAACUGAUACCACGCUUCCAGGAAAAGCCACUAAGCUUCAGGUUAUUAUAAACCGUACUAUAAACCGACACAGGUGGUCAGGUAGAGAAUACUCAGGCGCUUGAGAGAACUCGGGUGAAGGAACUAGGCAAAAUAGCACCGUAACUUCGGGAGAAGGUGCGCCGGCGUAGAUUGUAGAGAUUUACUCUCGAAGGUUGAACCGGUCGAAGAUACCAGCUGGCUGCAACUGUUUAUUAAAAACACAGCACUCUGCAAACACGAAAGUGGACGUAUAGGGUGUGAUGCCUGCCCGGUGCUGGAAGGUUAAUUGAUGGUGUUAUCGAAAGAGAAGCUCCUGAUCGAAGCCCCAGUAAACGGCGGCCGUAACUAUAACGGUCCUAAGGUAGCGAAAUUCCUUGUCGGGUAAGUUCCGACCUGCACGAAUGGCAUAAUGAUGGCCAGGCUGUCUCCACCCGAGACUCAGUGAAAUUGAAAUCGCCGUGAAGAUGCGGUGUACCCGCGGCUAGACGGAAAGACCCCGUGAACCUUUACUAUAGCUUGACACUGAACAUUGAAUUUUGAUGUGUAGGAUAGGUGGGAG